rnacentral:lncRNA from 1 species
GGCUGGACGUGGGGAGGCCCGCGGGACAGCGUCCAGCCCCCAGCUGACGAGGCUUAGAGAGCCGCCCGCUGACCUGCCCAUGGGGCUCCCUGGAGAUGGCAGCCAGGCAGGGCCACCUCCCGCGGAGGACAGAGGCCCGGCCCCGCCCAGGGCUGCCCAGGCCCUUCUGGGAGUGGAACUCCCAGCACUGCAGGUGACACAGAUGACACAGAUGACGCGGCACCGGGGUCCCCAGCACGGGUCCUGCGAGCCCCUCCCCGGCCUCCGGCCUCCCCUCGGAGCGGGCAGGGGGCCUCCCCUCGGAGCGGGCAGGGGCGGCCGGUGCCCCGCGGCCAGCUCUGCGGUGGGUCGGGCAGGAGGUCGCCGGGGACUGGCUCGCUGCACGGGGUGGGGGGCUGGUGGGCGCAGGGGGCGCAGGGGCCGCAGCCUUGCGGUGGCGACUCUGGCUCCCGGGACGCGGGCCGGAAGUGACCCUGGGGGACAGGCGGGCGGGAGGGAGGCAGAAGGAACAACAGACCGAGCGCGGCCUGCGGCGGGGCACCCGAGGCACUGGCGACACUGGAGGGGGCGUCCCGCGUCCCCUCUGCGCCCGUUACGCCCACGUCGCGGCCCAGGGGCGUGGGGCCCAGCGCCUGCCAGGGGGGCGCCUCAGGGACCCCGGCGCGCGGUGUCCGCGACGAGGAGGCCACAGGCUCCCGCCCGCGGCUAAUCGCUUCCAGACCGCGGGUCAGGGCCGGGGCCGCCGCCGCCUGGCUCCAUAAACAGCCCUCCUCCAGAUGGCGGCUGGCUCCGGCCUGGCGAGCAGGUCCCGGGCUGGGGGCUGGGGCAGCAGGUGGAGGGACCGGCCGCAGCUGCCCCCAGCGCCUCCCAGGGAGGACCGAAGCAGGCGGCGGGGCUCACCCUGGGCUCAGAGAGGGAGACUGAGGCCUGAGAGGGAGGCAGGGAGGCUGGGAGCCCCUGAUGCCAUGGGAUUGGCUCUGCUGAGGGGCUCCAGCCGACCCGGGACAGUGGGGACAGGCUAAGGCAAGCGCCAGGGGACUGGUACUGGGUCAUGUUCUGGCCUCCACCUGGGCUUUUCUGCCUGAGUGGGGAGCUGCUCGGGGGCCUCAGUCUUCGCCUCCUUAAGGUGGGCACAGUGGCAGGGCAGACUGUGGUACUGCUGGGGGCCAGGACAGCUCCCCAGAGCUCCCACGGGUACUCAGUGGCCCUCUGUCUCUUCCUCUUCCCACCUGGCAGCACAGUGGCCCCUUCUAGGAGGCCACCCUGACUUCUAGCAGACCUCUCCUCUGUGCCUGGCAUGGUGUCCCUCCAGUGGCCACCCCCAGUUCCCCCAUGCUGGACAAACUGGUGCUUGAUGGUACUGUGCCCUCCUGCAGAUGACGAAAUGGAGGUCAGGGAGGUAACUGGACUCAUCCCCCAGAUGAGGAUACCGAGGGCCAGGGAGACAGCGAGACGUGGUGAAAGAUGCAGCCCAGCCUCAGGAGCUGCCCUGGCCUGGCCUGGCCUCGAGCCAGGAGACCGGCUGCUCCUGCUGCCACCCACAACUCUGGAGCCCCCCUCUUGCCUCAGGAAGAAGACAAGGACCUGAGCCUGCCGUCCCCCAGGCUGGCACUGGGGCCUGACCCCCUGCACACACACUGCCUGUCUCCAAACUGGGCCGAGUCCAAGGCCCCUGGACAUCACCAGGGCCCUGAGCAGCAGCCUCAUUCCAGGGGAGCGGCUGCGGGACCAGGUGGAGAGACUGCUCUCGGGUCCCCCGAUGGUCCCUUCCUGCUCACUGAGGACAGGACGCUGCUCUGCAAGGCCUAGCCCCUGUUGUCAUCACCUGCCCUAGUUCUGGGCACAGAGCCGCUGCACUAAGGCCUCACAGGGAGUCCCUCUGCAUGGGACGUGGCCACAGUGGGACCCCUAGGGGAGACUCUUCCCAGAAAUUUGUAAUGACAGCUUCUCUAAUAUCCAUAACCAUUUGAGCCGGAGAACAUUAUACUCUACUCUCUGCAUUUUACAGAUAAGGCUCAGAGAGGCUGAGUGAUUUUUCCUCAGGUCACACAGUGGGAGCUGGGAUUGGAACCCCGGCCUUCUAGUUACAGAGCACACAUCCUUAACCGCCCAUCUCCAGUGUGUCUGAAACUGCUGGGGUGUAGUAGGUGCUUUCCCAAGGUCCCCUUGGCCGCAGUCAGAGUCUGGAUUCGGAUUUCGGCCAGCCUCGAGGUCAGCGGCCAGCCGUUCUGCCUGUGCCCGGGAGGAAUGUUGGUGGUAGCCUCGGCCGGGGUCCGAGAAGAAAGGCAGCCUUGUGGGCGAAAGGUGAGCCGCUGGGUGGGCGCAGGCGUGUUUACCCAGGGCCGGGCAUGUGGCUCCGGGUGGCGCCGCUGUCAGCCGCCGGCUGCCUGGCCGUGUUGGCCUCCAGAUGUGCGCUGGCUCCAGCCGGCCGCCCCCACCCCCAGCACAGAGGGGCUUUAUCAAAAGCGGCUGUGAGGAGGCCCCAGGCCCCGGCUGCUGGCUCCCAGCCCUGGCCGCAGCCACCAGGCGAGCGCACGGCCUGCACCCGGUCCCCCACUCCACCAGGCCUGGGGACCAGUCGGGAGGCCAGGCCAGGAGCUGGGAGGCCAGGCCCAGGGCCAGGAGAGGGCGUAUUGCAGGGAGACCCCUCUCCCACUUGCUCUCUACCCCUUGCCCCCGGGGCCAGCAGUGUGCCCCAAAACCCAGGAGUGUGCCCCAAAACCCAAGCCAGGGCUGUGCAGGCCAGGGCUCCUCCUCUGGGCACGGGGAGGCCACCACCCACUGACCCGGUUGGCCCAGGUGUCUCUCCGGGACUUUCUUUCCCUCUUCAGCUUUUUUUUUUUGGGGGGGGGUACUUUUUAUAUCCUCUCUGUCGGCCUGAAGGGUUUCGUAAUGAUAAAUAAUUAUCAGGGAAAAAGGAAACUCUCUCCCAUCCCAACCGCAGCCGGCUCCUGUUGACAUGUUGGUACUUUUCUUUUUACAGAUGGAAUUGAGAUAGGAACCAGGUGGGGUGUCACCCUCUGUAAUCCCAGCUGCUCCGGAGGCCAAGGCAGGAGGAUCACACGUUCAAGGCCAGCCAUCAG